AGAGUUUGAUCCUGGCUCAGAAUCAACGCUGGCGGCGUGCCUAACACAUGCAAGUCGAACGCGAAAGUCCCGCAAGGGAUGAGUAGAGUGGCAAACGGGUGAGUAACGCGUGGGUGACCUGCCUUCGAGUGGGGGAUAACGCUCCGAAAGGGACGCUAAUACCGCAUAACAUCCUGCCUUUUAAGAGGUGGAAAUCAAAGCCUGGGACCGCAAGGCCAGGCGCUUGACGAGGGGCCCGCGUCUGAUUAGCUAGUUGGUGGGGUAAUGGCUCACCAAGGCAACGAUCAGUAUCCGGCCUGAGAGGGCGGACGGACACACUGGGACUGAGACACGGCCCAGACUCCUACGGGAGGCAGCAGUGGGGAAUUGUUCGCAAUGGGCGCAAGCCUGACGACGCAACGCCGCGUGGAGGAUGAAGACCUUCGGGUCGUAAACUCCUUUCGAUCGAGACGAAUGGCCUCCGGGUGAAUAGUCCGGAGGAGUGACGGUACCGAGAGAAGAAGCCCCGGCUAACUCCGUGCCAGCAGCCGCGGUAAUACGGGGGGGGCAAGCGUUGUUCGGAAUUACUGGGCGUAAAGGGCUCGUAGGUGGCCAACUAAGUCAGACGUGAAAUCCCUCGGCUUAACCGGGGAACUGCGUCUGAUACUGGAUGGCUUGAGUUUGGGAGAGGGACGCGGAAUUCCAGGUGUAGCGGUGAAAUGCGUAGAUAUCUGGAGGAACACCGGUGGCGAAGGCGGCGUCCUGGACCAACACUGACACUGAUGAGCGAAAGCCAGGGGAGCAAACGGGAUUAGAUACCCCCGUAGUCC
rnacentral:rRNA from 1 species